GAACGCUAGCGGCAGGCUUAAUACAUGCAAGUCGUGGGGCAGCAUGAGUAGCAAUACUUGAUGGCGACCGGCAAACGGGUGAGGAACACGUACACAACCUUCCUUCAAGCGGGGAAUAGCCCAGAGAAAUUUGGAUUAAUACCCCAUAAUAUAUUUGAUAAGGCAUCUUAUUAAUAUUAAAGCUUCGGCACUUGAUGAUGGGUGUGCGGCUGAUUAGAUAGUUGGCGGGGUAACGGCCCACCAAGUCUACGAUCAGUAGCUGAUGUGAGAGCAUGAUCAGCCACACGGGCGCUGAGACACGGGCCCGACUCCUACGGGAGGCAGCAGUAAGGAAUAUUGGACAAUGGACGAAAGUCUGAUCCAGCCAUGCCGCGUGAAGGAUUAAGGUCCUCUGGAUUGUAAACUUCUUUUAUAUGGGACGAAAAAAGGGCAUUCUUGUUCACUUGACGGUACCAUAUGAAUAAGCACCGGCUAACUCCGUG
rnacentral:rRNA from 1 species